AUUGAACGCUGGCGGAAUGCUUUACACAUGCAAGUCGAGCGGCAGCACGGGGGCAACCCUGGUGGCGAGCGGCGAACGGGUGAGUAACACAUCGGAACGUACCCUGUCGUGGGGGAUAACGAGUCGAAAGAUUCGCUAAUACCGCAUACGACCCGAGGGUGAAAGCGGGGGAUCGCAAGACCUCGCGCGACUGGAGCGGCCGAUGGCGGAUUAGCUAGUUGGUGGGGUAAAGGCCCACCAAGGCGACGAUCCGUAGCGGGUCUGAGAGGACGGCCCGCCACACUGGGACUGAGACACGGCCCAGACUCCUACGGGAGGCAGCAGUGGGGAAUUUUGGACAAUGGGGGCAACCCUGAUCCAGCCAUUCCGCGUGAGUGAAGAAGGCCUUCGGGUUGUAAGACUCUUUCGGUCAGGAACGAAAGGACGUCUCUCUAACAUAGGGGUCGAA
rnacentral:rRNA from 1 species